rnacentral:rRNA from 1 species
CCUACGGGACGCAGCAGUGGGGAAUAUUGCACAAUGGGGGAAACCCUGAUGCAGCAACGCCGCGUGAGUGAAGAAGUAUUUCGGUAUGUAAAGCUCUACCAGCAGGGAAGAAGAAGGACGGUACCUGACUAAGAAGCCCCGGCUAACUACGUGCCAGCAGCCGCGGUAAUACGUAGGGGGCGAGCGUUAUCCGGAUUUAUUGGGUUUAAAGGGUGCGCAGGCGGCACAGCAAGCCGGCGGUCAAAUCGCGGGGCUCAACCCCGCCCAGCCGUCGGAACUGCCGGGCUAGAGUGGGCGAGAAGUGC